rnacentral:rRNA from 1 species
GUCCUUUUGAUUAUAAUUUAAGGUCUGACCUGCCCAAUGAAUGUAAAAGUUUAAAUGGCCGCAGUAUUUUGACUGUGCAAAGGUAGCAUAAUCAUUAGUUUUUUAAUUGAAAGCUUGUAUGAAAGGUCGAAUGAGAAAAUGACUGUCUCUAUUUAAAUUUAUUAAAAUUUUAUUUUUAAGUAAAAAAGCUUAAAUAUUUAUAAAAGACGAGAAGACCCUAUAGAGUUUUAUAAAAAUUAAUAUAAAAUUUUUUGGUAUUAAUAUGUUUAAUAUUAAUUUUUAUUUGGUUGGGGUGAUUUAAAAAUUAAAGAAACUUUUUAUUAAUAUUGUUACAUUUAUUUAUGAGUAAAUGAUCCUUUUUUAAAGAUUAAAAGAUUAAAUUACCUUAGGGAUAACAGCGUAAUUUUUUUUUAGAGUUCAAAUCGAAAAAAGAGAUUGCGACCUCGAUGUUGGAUUAAAAUACUUGUUUGGUGUAGGAGCUAAAUAAAUAGGUCUGUUCGACCUUUAAUAUUUUACAUGAUCUGAGUUUAAACCGGCGUGAGCCAGGUCGGUUUCUAUC